UACGGGGGGAGCAAGCGUUGUUCGGAUUUACUGGGCGUAAAGGGCGCGUAGGCGGCCUCUGCAAGUCGACUGCGAAAUCUCCGGGCUUAACCCGGAAAGGUCAGCCGAUACUGCAGGGCUAGAGUGCAGAAGGGGCAACUGGAAUUCUCGGUGUAGCGGUGAAAUGCGUAGAUAUCGAGAGGAACACCUGCGGCGAAGGCGGUUCUCUGGGCCUUACCUGACGCUGAGGAGCGAAAGCGUGGGGAGCAAACAGG
rnacentral:rRNA from 1 species